GCUAAGAAUCUUCGGCAAUGGCCUAACGGCUGACCGAGCGACGCCGCGUGGACGAAGAAGGCCGCAAGGUUGUAAAGUCCUUUUCUCGGCGAAGAAUAAGGCAGGGAGUGGAAAGCUCUGCUGAUGACGUUAGUCGAGGAAGAAGCCCCGGCCAAUUACGUGCCAGCAGCCGCGGUAACACGUAUGGGGCGAGCGUUGUUCGGAAUUACUGGGCGUAAAGGGCGUGUAGGCGGUUCAGCAAGCCUGGUGUGAAAGUCUCCGGCCCAACCGGGGGAUUGCACUGGGAACUGCUGGGCUUGAGUUCUGGAGGGGGAGCUGGAAUUCCUGGUGUAGGGGUGAAAUCUGUAGAGAUCAGGAAGAACACCGGUGGCGAAGGCGGGCUCCUGGCCAGACACUGACGCUGAGGCGCGAAAGCGUGGGGAGCGAACAGGAUUAGAAACCCUUGUAGUCC
rnacentral:rRNA from 1 species